rnacentral:rRNA from 1 species
AUGACCCUGUCGGUGGAACCGACGAGCUUGCCGCCGAUGAAGACGGCCGGGACGGCCGGCGUGCGGCCCAGGCGACGGGCGAGGUCGCGCUCCAUGUCACGGCCCCGGGGGUCCUUGUCCAGCUCGUGCACGGCCGCGCAAACGCCGAGGCCAGAGAAGAGGGUCGUCACUGUGUAG